CCUGGCGGCUUUAGCGCGGUGGUCCCACCUGACCCCAUGCCGAACUCAGAAGUGACACGCCGUAGCGCCGAUGGUAGUGUGGGGUCUCCCCAUGCGAGAGUAGGGAACUGCCAGGC
rnacentral:rRNA from 1 species